rnacentral:lncRNA from 1 species
AAUGGAUACCUCCAGAAGGUCGAUAGAUAGCCAUGAGAUUUUUGAAGAAGGAGAAAGAACCUGGAAGCAGCAAUGAGAAGCAUUUACCUGACCUCCUGGCCCUGACUUAUAAUGGAGCCUGCACUUGAGAAGAGCAGAAGUUUCAGUGAAUGCAAAAGAAACAUCUGAGAAGAGGUUAAGAAUGCAGUGGGGAGGAAUUCCAAGAUGGCGCCGUGAGUAGUCCUCUUUGUCUCUCGCCCUUCGAGUCUACAAUUAUUUGGACACUUAUCGCUUGACAAAGGAUAUCCAUACAGCAUCUCAGGACGUCUGAGACACCCACGCGACUAUACAUCGGAAGGCGGACGGACUUUCCUCCGGGAGGAUGUGGAAAUAGGUGAAAACUCUCCGACCCCGACGGGCAGCCUAGUACCCGCAAGCGGCUUUCUUCCAACGGACGCCCCCAGAGGAUCCACACACAUCUAGGGCAGGAGCGAGAACACAACAGAGGAGCGACGGUGGAAACAGGUGACCAGAACCCUACUUAAACCCCCCGCAAUUACUCCUAAACGCAGAGGGAAACUUUGGAGUUGCACACCUGAGCCCGCGGGGAGAGUCUCUCCCCGCCAUUGGCGGGGAGACCCGGCCUGGUGCUCGGGGCGCCCGGAGGGUCCCAGAGAGAGACACGGAGGGCACGGAGGUCUCCCAGCUGCCGUUGCCCGCCCCGUGGGACUAGGGAUUGCCGGAGAUCUCGGAGAGGACCGGGGCGGGGGAACUUUCAAAGGCCGGACCGGCGACCCGGAGGGGAAGCGCCGGAGCUCCGCCAGGCAGCAGACAAAACUCUCUGUCUGCCGGUAGCAGAGGGGCCACGCUGAGCACUCAGGGCUCCCGGCAGAGGCCCGGACAGAAGCCCAGAGGGCGGGGCGACCCCCAGCUGCCGUUGCCCACCCCGUGGGACUAGGGAUUGCCGGAGAUCUCGGAGAGGACCGGGGCGGGGGAACUUUCAAAGGCGGGUCCGGCGACCCGGAGGGGAAGCGCCGGAGCUCCGCCAGGCAGCAGACAAAACUCUCUGUCUGCCGGUAGCAGAGGGGCCACGCUGAGCAUUCAGAGCUCCCGGCAGAGGCCCGGAGAGAAGCCCAGAGAGCGGGGCGACCCCCAGCUGCCGUUGCCCACCCGGUGAGGCUAGGGAUUGCCGGAGAUCUCGGAG